UGGGGCGUGGCCAAGUGGUAAGGCAACGGGUUUUGGUCCCGUGAGUCGAAGGUUCGAGUCCUUCCGUCCCAG
rnacentral:tRNA from 2 species